rnacentral:rRNA from 1 species
GUGCCAGCCGCCGCGGUAAGACGAACUGUCCAAACGUUGUUCGGAAUCACUGGGCUUAAAGGGCGCGUAGGCGGUCAAACAAGUCAGGGGUGAAAUCCUGCAGCUCAACUGUAGAAGUGCCUCUGAUACUGUUUGCCUAGAGGGAGAUAGGGGUGUGCGGAACUUCCAGUGGAGCGGUGAAAUGCGUUGAUAUUGGAAGGAACGCCGGAGGCGAAAGCGGCGCACUGGAUCUCUUCUGACGCUGAGGCGCGAAAGCUAGGGGAGCAAACGGGAUUAGAUACCCCGGUAGUCCUAGCCCUAAACGAUGAGUACUAGAUUGUAGACUUUCAUGGGUUUACAGUCGAAGCAAAAGUGUUAAGUACUCCGCCUGGGGAGUAUGGUCGCAAGGCUGAA